CAGAGGGUGCAAGCGUUAAUCGGAAUUACUGGGCGUAAAGCGUGCGUAGACGGUUACGUAAGUCAGAUGUGAAAGCCCCGGGCUCAACCUGGGAAUUGCAUUUGAGACUGCAUAGCUAGGGUGCGGAAGAGGGAAGCGGAAUUUCCGGUGUAGCGGUGAAAUGCGUAGAUAUCGGAAGGAACACCAGUGGCGAAAGCGGCUUCCUGGUCCAGCACCGACGUUCAGGCACGAAAGCGUGGGGAGCAAACAGGAUUAGAUACCCUGGUAGUCCACGCCAUAAACGAUGAGAACUAGACGUUGAGAGGGUAAGCCUCCCAGUGUCGCAGCUAACGCGAUAAGUUCUCCGCCUGGGGAGUACGGCCGCAAGGUUG
rnacentral:rRNA from 1 species